UGGUGUGCUGUGAACACAGGGAGGAAAGAAAGUUUCAGUUGGUUUAUUCAUUUCCUUUCACCCAAUCACUGUACUGUUACUGUAUGUCUCUCCUUAAUUCACGUCAAGGACUUGAUCAAACCACUAAUCAUGUUUAACUUACUUAGAAUGUGUUAUCAUUUCUGAGAUAAUUCAGAUAUCACUAAAGGUGGUCACUUGAUAUGGGGAUUGGGGCAAAAAGUCACUAUUUCACUAUUUGUUAGCUUUUUUUCUUUCCUUGUGAAUACCAACACAAAUCAAUCGCUUUAUACAGGCCACACAAGACAGUCUGGAUGUAACAUUCAGUAAAUCUCAGUAAACUUUCAACGUUUUUCCGAAAAUGAUUAUGGAAUGUUUUGGCAACUUCCAUCAAUGGCUUGAUACAUAAGUAGGAUAAAAGGACAAUAACGUUUGUAAAGCUUGAGUACUUGACCAGGGCAAGAUUACCAUUAGCCUAGUAUUAGCAAGAAUUCUUCAUCUCUGCGUUUAAAAUUAAACCUUAUUUGAAUAAUUCUGUCUAUUUCACCCAGAACAACCACUUUUCAGCUAUCAGGGCAAAUAUAUUAUGAAUUUACAAAUGUGAUUGAAGGCACUGGACAGUAUUUUCCUGGAAGGUGGAAGGUACUUGAUGGAAGGUGGAGAAAAGCUAACCGAUGCCAUGAUUAAAAUGAAGAGAAAAAAAACGUUGAAUCUCCACAUAGUGUGGAAAGUAACAUUUUCCCCCCUAUUCUAUAAGCAUUGAGUCCAGUGGUUUGUUUAUCAUGCCUUUGCCAAUGUCUCUGGGUCGCUUCCAUCAAUGACAACCUCAUGUCCAUGGAAGAUGACCUCAAAGCCACAACGUAUCACAGACAGAUAUCCAGGUCCACGCUGUAUUUGUGUUCCCCUCCAUGUAAUUGUUGUAAUAUACAAUUUAGGAUCCCCCCCAUAUCUUCAUUUUAUUUAUUCUAUUUAUGAAUUACUUUAAGUUAUAGCUGUCUGAAAUAUUACAUUUCUAAGUGAUUUGUUAUUUUGCCAAACCAAAUUGUACGAUCUAAGCACAAUCAGUGUUAUUGAUUUAGUUGAUCAAUACUUGUACAUCCCCUAUUGAAACUUUGAAAGAUUUUUCCUUCUUUCAUGACUGACAAGUCAGUGUGUAUGAUAUUGAGUCAGUGUAUAAGGACAUGUGUUCGUAAGGACAUGCAUGCAUCAGUGGAAUUGUUUUAUUUUCCCUUUUUUACUUAGACUCUAUUUUAUCCCAAAAGUGGGUGUUUGGGAAUGAUAUCUGGACUUUUUAAUCAAUUUAAUUGAUUCUGAUCUUUGUUGGUGUGUGUUUGUCUCUGUAAAAAGACAAAUAGAAUUUUGCCCUCAAAAUUGUUGUUAUUUUAAAAUAUUUCAAAUUCAGUCAACAGAAUUGUCAAUAGGAAUAAUUGCUAUGACAGAAAUAGAUUCUUGCUUCGCUGCUCCUCUUGAUGUUUGGUUGUACAUGCCUGUGAAUGAGGUGAAGGUAUUGGUAUUAUUAAAUGCCUGUGAAUGAGGUGAAGGUAUUGGUAUUAUUAAAUGCCUGUGAAUGAGGUGAAGGUAUUGGUAUUAUUAAAUGCCUGUGAAUGAGGUGAAGGUAUUGGUAUUAUUAAAUGCCUGUGAAUGAGGUGAAGGUAUUGGUAUUAUUAAAUGCCUGUGAAUGAGGUGAAGGUAUUGGUAUUAUUAAAUGCCUGUGAAUGAGGUGAAGGUAUUGGUAUUAUUAAAUGCCUGUGAAUGAGGUGAAGGUAUUGGUAUUAUUAAAUGCCUGUGAAUGAGGUGAAGGUAUUGGUAUUAUUAAAUGCCUGUGAAUGAGGUGAAGGUAUUGUUGUUAUUAAAUGCCUGUGAAUGAGGUGAAGGUAUUGGUAUUAUUAAAUGCCUGUGAAUGAGGUGAAGAUAUUGGUAUUAUUAAAUGCCUGUGAAUGAGGUGAAGGUAUUGGUGUUAUUAAAUGCCUGUGAAUGAGGUGAAGGUAUUGGUGUUAUUAAAUGCCUGUGAAUGAGGUGAAGGUAUUGGUGUUAUUAAAUGCCUGUGAAUGAGGUGAAGGUAUUGGUGUUAUUAAAUGCCUGUGAAUGAGGUGAAGGUAUUGGUGUUAUUAAAUGCCUGUGAAUGAGGUGAAGGUAUUGGUGUUAUUAAAUGCCUGGGAAUGAGGUGAAGGUAUUGGUGUUAUUAAAUGCCUGUGAAUGAGGUGAAGGUAUUGGUAUUAUUAAAUGCCUGUGAAUGAGGUGAAGGUAUUGGUAUUAUUAAAUGCCUGUGAAUGAGGUGAAGGUAUUGGUGUUAUUAAAUGCCUGUGAAUGAGGUGGAGGUAUUGGUAUUAUUAAAUGCCUGUGAAUGAGCUGAAGGUAUUGGUGUUAUUAAAUGCCUGUGAAUGAGGUGAAGGUAUUGGUAUUACUAAAUGCCUGUGAAUGAGGUGAAGGUAUUGGUGUUAUUAAAUGCCUGUGAAUGAGGUGAAGAUAUUGGUAUUAUUAAAUGCCUGUGAAUGAGGUGAAUGUAUUGGUGUUAUUAAAUGCCUGUGAAUGAGGUGAAGGUAUUGGUGUUAUUAAAUGCCUGUGAAUGAGGUGAAGGUAUUGGUGUUAUUAAAUGCCUGGGAAUGAGGUGAAGGUAUUGGUAUUAUUAAAUGCCUGGGAAUGAGGUGAAGGUAUUGGUGUUAUUAAAUGCCUGUGAAUGAGGUGAAGGUAUUGGUAUUAUUAAAUGCCUGUGAAUGAGGUGACGGUAUUGGUGUUAUUAAAUGCCUGUGAAUGAGGUGAAGGUAUUGGUGUUAUUAAAUGCCUGUGAAUGAGGUGAAGGUAUUGGUAUUAUUAAAUGCCUGUGAAUGAGGUGAAGGUAUUGGUGUUAUUAAAUGCCUGUGAAUGAGGUGAAGGUAUUGGUGUUAUUAAAUGCCUGUGAAUGA